GGGGGCGAUGUGGCUGUCGACCGGAGGUUUCGUGUAGCAGAUGGUUGCACGGCGGGGACGCAAGUAACCCCGUAAAAUCCUCUGGCAACAAAAUAACCGACACGCAUAAUGCGUAUCGCCUCGCUGCUUAAUUAGCGGCGACCUCGCUUCUAUCUUGCCCUCGAGGUGGAGAGCGGGGAACGGUAGAGGGCUGGGUCACAUAUCUUGGCUCGGAGGAGGUGUGAUGACGAUUUAAUCCGAGAUAGUCGAACGCGAAUCCUGUUCGUCGGAGUUGCGUUUGGCGAAUGAAAAAGACGAACUAACCGUGUAGAUGCCGACUGUUACGCCCUUCGGGACGGGGGUUCGAUUCCCCCCGCCUCCAUUU
rnacentral:tmRNA from 1 species